ensembl:lncRNA
CUGUAUUUGGUUUAAGCUCGACUACGGAUACUACUCGAUUAUUAUUAUUAUUAUUAUUAUUAUUAUUAUUAUUAUUAUUAGUGCUACCGUCAAUCAGGAUGAUUAGACACACACACGGAGGUUACGUGUCGGAAUCGGAGUCGGAGGAGUCCGAUGAGCUGCGCGCGAGCUCCAUGAACGCGCAGCUGCGCCAGGAGAAUAAAGCGCUGAAGAGUCACGUGGAGCGUCUGCAGAUCUUACUGUCCGACGUCCCACAUUUUGAAGAAGAGAAGCGCACCAUGCUGGAGGCCCUCCAUCAGUCCUGCGUGAGAGAGCCGAACGUGAAGGAGCGCUUGAAAGAGGAGGAGAGGGAGAACGAGUGUAUCGAGGACGCGCUCGCGGAUCUGACGUACAUCCUGAGAUCUGAAAAGCCUAGGCAAAUAAAAUUAGUGACUCUCAAGCGAGAGGUGCUCACAGCCAAAUGUUGCGUGGAGGACAUGCAGAUCAGCCUCGACGAGAGAGAUGAGAUCAUCAGGAGGAAAGACGCAGAGUUAGUGGAACUAUUCGCCUUUCUCAAGGACUGCUCUGUGCACGCGGAGGGAAUCGCAGCGCGCAUCGAGGAUGCAGAAAAAGCGGUGCGCGCGGUCAGGGAGCGCGAGGUAAAGGAGCCUUUGCGCGUGCGGGACGUACAGGCAUGCGAAGUGAAGUGGAAGAAGACUCCUACAGCUCCAGUGAAGAGAGUUCAGAGUGAAGUGAGACAGUCCAGAGUGAAUGGCAUGCUGGUUACAGUGUGCUGCUUCGCCCUCACACUGAUCUUCAUGCUCUUCUUUACUUUCUCCGUUUUACUGCCAUUCAGCUGUGAAGACAGCCUGGCCAUCACGUGCACUGAGGCCAUCCUGGACAGUGUGGAGGAGCUUAGAGUGCCUUUCCGUACUGCUGAUUGUACUGCGUAACUACGAACUUGAUUCUUCAAUGAUAACAGAGAAAGAGAGAGAGAGAGAGAGUGAGAGAUCAUUAGGAGGAAGGAUGCAGAGAUGGAAGAAUGAUUAUCUUUUCCAGGAGAAACAGUGGAGGAGGAAAAGAGGACAGCUGUUAAAAAGAAAAGCGCAGCCUUUCCAGGAACUGAACUUAGAGCAGAAGGCUGGAUCUGACAACCCAAAAUACUUUCCCUCCAUCCUCUAUACCGCUUAAUCCUCUUCAGGGUCACAGGGAAACCUGGAGUUUCCAUCCCAUGGACCAUGGGGCACAAGGCAGAGUACACCCUGGACAGGGUGCCAGUCCAUCGCAGGGCACACUCACAUACCCAUUCAUACACUACAGACACUUUGGACAUGCCAAUCAGCCUACCGUGCAUGUCUUUAGACUGGGGAAAAGGGAGUACGGAGGAAAACCCCGCAGUACGGGGAGAACAUGCAAACUCUACACACACAGGGCCACAGUGGGAAUCAAACCCCUGACCCUGGAGGUGUGAGGCGAACGUGCUAACCACUAAGCCACCGUGCGCCCCCAAAAUCUACCAGUGUGUUUGUGUGAGUGUCUUCAGUGUGAACAGCACGGAGACCUGAGGUGUGCCAGUGCUCAGUAUGACCGUGCAGGAAGUGUCCCAUCCGAUCUGAACAGUGUGGUCAUUUAGUCAGGAGGUCCAGGAGCCAGCUGCAGAGGGACGGAGUGAAGCCCAGCAGUAAGCGCUUUAUCCGGAGCUUAUCCUGGGAACACUCUGGGGGAACACACCCUGGAUGACUGCUGUGAGGAGACAACAUUACCUGCUGAACAACUCUCCCACCUAAUGAAUGAACCAACAAAACAAAUAAAUGAAUAUAUUUUCAUGUUCUUGUUGUUUUCCCACUUAUUAUUAUUAUUGUUGUUGUUGUUGUUGUUGUUAAAAAGGGUCAGUGAGGGUUGUUUUU